UACAGAGGGUGCAAGCGUUGUUCGGAAUUACUGGGCGUAAAGCGCGCGUAGGCGGACCUGCAAGUCGGGGGUGAAAGCCCGAGGCUCAACCUCGGAACUGCCUUCGAUACUGCGGGUCUCGAGUCCGGGAGAGGUGAGUGGAAUUCCUAGUGUAGAGGUGAAAUGCGCAGAUAUCGGGAAGAACACCCGUGGCGAAGGCGGCUCUCUGGGACGGUACUGACGCUGAGACGCGAAAGCGUGGGGAGCGAACAGG
rnacentral:rRNA from 1 species